rnacentral:lncRNA from 1 species
GGUUCUUUGGCAGGCCCAGAUCUUCUCCAACCCAAAGUACGUCAUUUUGUGUGCCUCUGCAGACAACCUUAGGUGGUAACAUUGCUACUAGUAGUGUUGCCUGGUGUGCUUUCUGCAGCUGCAGUGAGGACUUUCACAGUGGCAGAAGCUUCCUGCGAGUAAACAGGGACAUCUAUUGGAUGCUAAACCCCUCCAGAAGUGCAGACUGGUGGGGUUAGGACUGCAGUCCUUGUCACACAAAGGUUUCAUUGACAUUAGGUAAGGUAAAGGUACCCCUGCCCGUACGGGCCAGUCGUGUCCGACUCUAGGGUUGUGCACUCAUCUCACUUAAGAGGCCGGGAGCCAGCGCUGUCCGCAGACACUUCCAGGUCACGUGGUCAGCGUGACGAAGCUGCUCUGGCGAGCCAGCACCAGCGCAGCACACGGAAACGCUGUUUACCUUCCCGCUAUAAAGCAGUACCUAUUUAUCUACUUGCACUUAGGGGUGCUUUCGAACUGCUAGGUGGGCAGGAGCUGGGACCGAGAGACAGGAGCUCACCCCGCCGCGGGGAUUCGAACCGCCGACCAUACGAUCAGCAAGUCCUAGGCACUGAGGUUUUACCCACAGCGCCACCCGCGUCCCACUUCAUUGACAUUAGCAGGUCAUAAAUUAGUCACAACUAAACAGACCUAUUGACUUUUACUUGGAUUUAAGCCAAGCUUCUCACCUUUUAUAGAGAAAAUCCAAUCACCUUAUUUCAAUUCACUAUUCUGUUUUAAAGUAAAUUUAUGUAUGAUUUUGAGACUAUCUGAACAUUGAGCUGAUUAUCACCAAGUACUUGAGGAAAGACUCUAGGUCAUUAUCUCAACUAUAAAAAGAUCUUUGAUUUUUUUUUUAAUUGACUCCCUUCUGCUCAUGUUGCCUUUAGAAAGUAAUUUGUACUGUACAGAAUAGAAGGUUACAUUAGAAAGCCCAUCCGUUACCUUGGCAAGAAUAGAUUUCCUGUUGAGCUUAACAAAUGUGAGCAUUAUAUUGUUGCGAACAGUGCAUUUGGUUGGAAAACUGAAUGGAUUGCUGUAAUAUCUGCAUGUACGGAGUCAAACAUUAUGGGCCACUUUAUUUGUGAAGCAGUGACGAAUCAAACUCUGAUUUGCUUGCUUUUGCAAAGCUUGCUUUUUCAGAAGUGUAUCGGGGACUGGGCCCUUCCAUUAAAAACACUUUGUCCAGCCUUCUUUCUUUGCUUGCAUUGGUUUAUAUUGACAAAUAAUCUUGUGGCAUCUGUGAGUACAGAAAACAAAUGGCGGUGCUAGAAGUGUGGAACUUUUUAUUCCGAAAGAGGGUUUCGGAAUAACACUGGUUAAGCUGCCAUACUUCUUCAUGCUUCAAGGCAACACUUUAUUUGAUAGCAAAUUUAGCUUCAAAAUCUUUUCUCUCAAAACCUAGCAACUGUGUGUGAUUUUUAAGCCAAGGUACAUAUUACUAGUUGUAUGAAGAUUAAAUAGAUUAUCUGAAGCUGUCAAAAAGAUGAGUGAUUUAUGAUAUGCAAAGGAUUGGGGCAGUGUAAUUAGCUGCCACUUAACAGUACCAGGAUAAUAAUAAAAAAUAUGUUGCUGCAGCAUAAAAGGAAACUGCAAUAUAUCUAGUUCAGUUAUGAGAAUUAGCUAAAUGCCUUUGUAAUAAAAAUGCUUAUAUAUAAAAGCGAAAUGAGGAGUUAUUUUUAAUGCAAGCCUAAUCUUUUCAGAGCUCAAGAGAGCAACGUUAAUGGCUUCUAAGGAAAGUUAUAAUUAUGGCUGCAUUUAUUGUAGACUUCAAGAUGAAUAGCACAACAUUAAAUGGUUUCAGGAGUCUUUUAAGUAGUCAACAUGGAAAUGCAAGCUUAAAAACUACCAAUACACAUUUUAAUCUUCCCCAUAAGUCACUGAAUGAAAGACAUACUAGAUAUAUUUUUUAAAUGUUUAUUAGUCUUUGUUUCCAUAUUUGAGUUUCUAUUUACACUAAUAAAAAUUAACUUCUAAUAGAGAGAUUCUGUCCAUCAGGGUAUUUCUGAAAUGAACUGAUUUACUUUUAUGCUUUUCCUUCAUUCGUCACAUAAAAUAUCAUCAGGUGUAAAAUAUAGCAAACCUUUCAGUAAGUUGUCACUCUUGGUUGUAUUCAAGACAUAUCUAUUUAUUGAAGGCAUACCUAUAUUUUAAUAUCCAAUAAUGGAAAGGUCUGUAAUCAUGCAUACUUAAUGUUUUAUUCAAUAAUCUUUUAAAAAAUUGAAAAGCAAAAAACAGCAAACAAAUUUAUUUUUACAAGCUGUGACUUGAAUUAACUUAUCAUCAGUGAUGUAGGAUUUUAGCAUUUUGUGACCAGUAGGAGGCUGCCCUCAAACUGACUUGAUAAUACAACAUUUACAUACCAUCUACCAGACAUGUGAGCAACAGAGCUAUUAGUCAUUUUUUUAAAAAGGAAUGUAUCCACACAUACAUGCAUAAAUCAGCUUUGUGGUUGAGAUAAGGCUACAGAUUUGUGCAUUCAUUUAUUUCAAAGUCCCUUCCUUGAUGUUGAGGGAACAUUUCAAAAAGUUUGAUCCACUAAAAAUGUUCUGUCCUUUGCCUGAGGUGCUGCAUUCACAACUCUCCCACUGUGAGUAACUAGAUGUAUCUCUCCUACACCCCAGCAGUACUUUGCUCAAGUGCCAGUGUGUUAUCUUUUCCCACUUAAAAGACCACAUGCUUCAAAAUAGUUCUAUUUCUUUCUCCCACUAGACUAGACUAUUUCUGAAACAAAAUGGGUAAUAUGCUUCCAAGUUUAUUUCUAGGUCGCUAUUUUCUGAGGAAGGAAAAGUUUUCUCAUUCUAUUUAGUGUUUUCUUUGGGAGAAAAUAUAUUAUCUAACCUUUAUAAUGAGUAUUUAUAUUAUGCAUUAGGAAAACCCCACAAGCAACAAAUUUUAAAAUUAUUGUCAUGUUAUGAGGAAAAUGUUGAUUUCACUUUGUCUUAGUGGUAGCUUUCCUGCCAGAGAUCUGAAGAGUUUUGGUCUGGGUAUUGAGAAUGUUAUGUCUUCCUCAUAGAACUACAUUUUUUGGGUUUCACUGGUAGAGGGUGUAAGUUCUAAAUGGGUGAUCUGUCAUUCACCUAUAGCUAGGCCCUAUAUGCUUACCAGGGUGAUCAGAUAUUAACAUGCUGAAGAGAGGAGUUUGCUUUAUUUUGCAGAAUUGAUGGAGACGUUUUCCUUUUACAAUACAAUAACUUUCAAAAGCCUGUUGUGAUGAUGCAUGUCAGUUUGCAGUCUCUUUCAAGAUAAGUUAAACAUUUUUCUUUGUGUUCCAUGUUUUUUGAGAAGUCAGUGUUCCCUGUUAGCAGUGAGUGAACAUAAAAUAAACAAAUGUCUAAAAAUAUAUAGGCUUAGCUCAUGUCAGCCUGUAUCAGAAUCAGAAUUUUGCUGCAGAAAAGAAAAAGCCAAAGGCAGCAGCAAUUACAAUAAUUAGAAAUGCUGUUUUAGAAUGUUGUUGUGUACUUGCUCUUAACUGCAGCACUGCUGCUUUGAUGGCAUUGUUCAGUGAAACAUAUGUCGGAACUUCACAGGAAUAAACAUGGAAACAGACUGUCCGAGCUUGUGUUCAGAUUUCUACAUUAGGUCAAACAAUCUGGUUACUGGAUUUUCACACUGUCCGUUUCACUUUCUGACAUCAUAAUCAUCCUUAGGUAUUUACAGCACUUCCACACUUUGUGUAACAAACAUUUUUGCUGUGGGUACCCUGGUGGUUUUGGCAGCAACUGUAUGGCAUGCAGACAUCUUUAAAAUCCAUUUUGUACCUAUAAUGGAGCCCCAGUGACUCAUGGUUACGAAGCAUUGUGCAGAGGUGGAAAGACAUGCAAUUUGCAUAAAGCACAUAUAAGCAAUUCACACUUUAUGAACUGAAUCCAUUUGCAGAAGGUGUUUGGAUUCAGUGAAGACACCUGCUCAUGGAAGGGGUGCCAGACCAUUUCCACUAAUUUUCCUUGCAGACCUCUGUGCCACUUGAAAAUGUGCUGUGGGUUAUUGGAAUAUCCUCUGAAACAGAAAGGAAGUUGGCACAGUGUCUUGCAGUGGAGGAGAGUCAGUGCAAAUCAUAUCCUUUCCUUCCAUGACCAGAAGCAUCAGCUAAAUCUGAGCUUAUGUGUUUCCUGUGGAAGACAUUCAAGGCUGGCUCCAGAUGGUGAUGAAAACAGGCAUUUGAAAAAGAAUCUAUGGCCACAACCAGGAGCACCUGGUGCUGUGGAGGUGGCCUACUACAGUAGUGUCAAUGCCACUUACUAGGAUGGUGCAGGCAGUGUGCAUGCCCCAAUGAAGCCUAUCCAGUACUCUCAGAGGUGUGCUCAGCCUCCCGCAACUUCAGCAACUGCAGAACUCUAGUACAAGUGGCAACAUCACUUCUCCACAACAAGGCUCCACUGGCCACUCUUGGCCCCAGCAAUGCUGAUAUUCUCACUUUGCACUGAGCACAUUAAAAGGUCAGAGGCAGAGAGAACUCAUAGUUUGAACCAGGCUUUUUUCCAAGUCAAGGAGGCCCACUGAGAGCAUUUUGCACCAAGACCUCCCCAAUCUGGGAGAUGGCUUCUGUGAUGGCACACUGGGAAUUGCUUCCUCUUUAGUACUGUGGUGUCAUCAGAGCUUACCGUCCAACAAUAGGGGCGUCCAACCACACUCUCUAACAUUUCUCCAGUCCUAAGGAAAAGUGGGACAUUCUGGGAUCAAAUCAGAAACCGGGAUGGCUUCUGUAAAUCCAAGACUGGCCUUGUAAAAUAGGGACUCUUGGAGGGUCUGCCAGAACCAGCUUCAUCUCUGAGGGUGGUAUAUUUGGUGACAGUGAUAAAUGGCAGGAAGAGAAACAGCAGCACUCUGAACAGCUUUGGCCAGAUGGGUAUAGCUGCUAUUUUGAUUUUCUACAUACUCUGGGAAAUUAUUAUACAGGCUUUUAAGUGCAUUGGCUGGAACAUUUCUUAAAGGGCCAUGUUGUUUCUGCCUUUGGAAGGACUGACUCUUGUUCUCUAUUUAAGUUGUUUAUUGUAUUUCUAUAUAAAAUGUUGGCUUUAUCCUGAGUUGUUUUAGCUACUGUUGCUUUGUUGUUGCAGCUCUACUACAUAUUGAGGGUUCCUUAUACACGGCAACACAGGAUAAAAUAAAUAAAUAAAGGAAAUAAAAAACGUCCAGUUUUCUGAAGAGCUAUUCUUUGUACAUUGCCCUACAGCAAGAUUUUUUUUAAAAAAGAUUGCUUUUAAAAUGUUCCUUGUUAUUAGUUUUCUAUGUGGACAUUUUAUUUUGUUAAAGUAUUGUACGCGUUCCAGUUCAGUAAGUUCAGCUAAGCCUUUGCAGGCUUGCUUGUAUCUCUUGAGAAGAAGUAUGCUGUAAUAUGCAUUUUAAUGUUUAGCGUUUCAAAUGACAUUUGUACAAAUGUUUCUUGUACACAGGUAUUAUAAAUUAGAAGUUGCUGGCUAUGUUAUAUGCAGGAUUCUCUCAAAACCUGGAAGUCCAAACAAAUUCAUUUUAAUUAUAGCCAUGCAGAAGAUUAGCCCUUCAUUACAGGUCUUAUGACUAUGCUUUGAAGAAAAUUAACAGCUCACAGUUGUCAUUUCAAAACUAGAGUUUUAGAAAAGUUGCAUAUUUCCCAAAGACCUAAAGUUGCUAUUUUCAGAAAACUCUCAGCUGAUUCCACUAAAACAACUAGCACAAAAGUCACCCAAGUUAAAAGUCAUGCAAGUUAAUAGUUGAACUAUUUCUGUGUGAGAAAUUAAUUCUACUUUUUUGGGGCAAUGAUUUCUUUCAUCUCUAGCUUAAAUGAAAAGCAGGUUUUGAGGGCAAAUUUGCUCUUAAUCAUUACUAUUACCAGGAAUGUGAAGGCGUCCGAAUUAUGUGAAAUACAUGUAGUAGAAAACAGUAAAAAUAGAGUAGCUUUCGUACUCUCAGCAAUAUGCGUACAACUUCAGGUGUUUUUACAAGCAUCCAUAACCUCUUUCUUUUUGAUCAGGUUUAUAAAGUAGUGACAAUCACCACAUGUAUGGGAUAUGAACAUGUCAGUUCCAAAUGGGUCACCUCUCUCUAAUUGAAAUUUUCUCAGUAGCAGGGUCAGCUGGUGAUCAGCUACAGAGCGCCAUGAACCCAAGUAGUCUGUAUCCGUUACAAUACGUAUCUGCUUGGUCUCUCUUGUUCUCUCUGCCUGUAUGAAAAUGCCCUUAAAUCAAUUGCAUAGAGUAUGGUGCUGAUAAUGUCAAGGUCGCAGGUUUGAUCCCCGUAUGGGACAGCUGCAUAUUCCUGCAUUGCAGGGGGUUGGACUAGAUGAUCCUCGGGGUCCCUUCCAACUCUUCAAUUCUAUGAUUCUAUGAUUCUAUGAUUCUACUUGGGUUUUCAGAAAUUGAGAGCAGAACAUUACAUUUACAUAUUUUCUAGAAAGUAAGGCAGCAUUUAACAGACAGUAGGUUAUGAAUACUGUAACUAAUGCUUUUGAAAGUCUGUCGGUCUGUGGGAGAUUUUCAACCUUGCAUAAAAGGGCAUGAGAAAAUUUCAGUUCUAUUUGGACCUUC